GAUGAACGCUGGCGGCGUGCCUAAUACAUGCAAGUCGAGCGAACAGAUGAGGAGCUUGCUCCUCUGACGUUAGCGGCGGACGGGUGAGUAACACGUGGAUAACCUACCUAUAGGACUGGGAUAACUUCGGGAAACCGGAGCUAAUACCGGAUAAUAUAUUGAACCGCAUGGUUCAAUAGUGAAAGACGGUUUUGCUGUCACUUAUAGAUGGAUCCGCGCCGCAUUAGCUAGUUGGUAAGGUAACGGCUUACCAAGGCAACGAUGCGUAGCCGACCUGAGAGGGUGAUCGGCCACACUGGAACUGAGACACGGUCCAGACUUCUACGGGAGGCAGCAGUAGGGAAUCUUCCGCAAUGGGCGAAAGCCUGACGGAGCAACGCCGCGUGAGUGAUGAAGGUCUUCGGAUCGUAAAACUCUGUUAUUAGGGAAGAACAAAUGUGUAAGUAACUAUGCACGUCUUGACGGUACCUAAUCAGAAAGCCACGGCUAACUACGUG
rnacentral:rRNA from 1 species